GACGUUCCAAAAUGGUUCAAUACUCAGUCCACCAGCAUUGAGGAUCUGCUCCCCUCCCGGGUGCGAUGGGAGGAACUUAGUGACGUCAUACACGCCCUCUUUAUAUGUCACCCAGAAGUUGUCUCUGUAAUGUUAAUGUACUCCCAUUAUAGUAGUCCUUUUUUUUUGUUUUUUUUUCUAUAUUUUUUUUUAAAGGAAGAAUUGUUAAUGGUUCUGUUUUUAUAAUGAAGUGUCAUCGUCUGAAUCUCUCGAGUUGCUUAUUAUUAGGUAUUUUGUGUGUACUAUUUAUAUAAGUAGGUAUAUAUGCUAGGUUAUGUAUAUAGGUUAGGUAUAUAUUAUAUUUGUAAGUAUGUUAUAUAUUUAUUUGCAUGUAUUUGUUGUUAAGUUGUAUGCAUAGUUUGUACCCGCAAUCUUUCAAAUUUUUUUUACCUUUUCCUCACCUUAUGGUUGUCUGGAAGAAAUCGCUUUAAGCGAUAAGGCCGCCAUUUGCCAUGUACUUAGUUAAGAGACUUUUUGUAAUUAUUUCUUUUUAUUUUGGUGCAAUAAAGUGUAUUUGUAUUGUAUUGUUGUCAAAA